rnacentral:rRNA from 1 species
UACGGAGGAUCCAAGCGUUGUCCGGAUUUAUUGGGUUUAAAGGGUGCGUAGGCGGAUGAUUAAGUCAGUGGUGAACGCCGGCAGCUCACCUGUCGAACUGCCAUUGAAACUGAUCGUCUUGAAUCUAGUAGAGGUAGGCGGAAUGUAUCAUGUAGCGGUGAAAUGCUUAGAGAUGAGACAGAACACCAAUUGCGAAAGCAGCUUACUAUGCUAGUAUUGACGCUGAGGCACGAAAGCGUGGGGAUCAAACAGG